AGGAGGACUGCAAGGAGAGGCUGCAGGUGCAUAUCCGGAGAGCCAGGAUGUUUAGGUGACGCUGCGUUUCACCGGUCGCCUGUCGAUGGCAUCAUAUCCCCUCAGUGGAUAACUGGGCUCCCGGGAGAAACCUCCUGAACCAUGAACACUGAAGGAAUCCUAACCGGGAGAAGAUGACUGCAAUGAUGACAAUGGUGGUGAAGACAACAACUCCCAUGAUCCCACACUGCUUCACCACCUCAUCACACUUCAUCUUUUGUUAUUGAGAAUUGUCCCUUUUAGAAUAUUAUAUAUUAUAUUAUUACUCAUACAUUUAUGUGUAAACAAUAUUUUAACACAAUACAUAGAUAAUAGCUAUUCUGCUAUUUUCACCUGCCCCCCUGGUUUAGCUAUAAAUAGCAACAAAGUACUCGUAGGGAGGAGGUUGUGGUGGUGUCCAUAGCUUUGGUUUGCCCUUUCCCAAACAACGACAUGCCUGAAACAAUGAUCGGGAAGUGCUUUUUUAUGCAACAAUUUAAAAGGUUUUAUUUUUUCCUGAGAGGCUCUGUACAAAAUUAACCAAAAUUCACACAAAACAAGCAAAAUCUUU